AAAAUGUAGGGUAGGAUUGGAUCAUCCUUUUAGUAAACGACAAGAAUAGGAGCACAUUUCAAUCUUUUUGGAAAGGGAAAAAAAGGUGAGGGGAAGGGCUGUUCGCGGUACGUGAUUUUUGAGGCAGGCACUGUUCCUGUCAUCCCAAUCAAUGAUUGUUCUCCGAGAGAGAGAGAGAGAGAAAGAAAGAGAGAGCAAAAGAAGGGAGAUGAUGCACUCUUGGUCUAGAAAUGGUGAGGCUUAAAGACUAAUGAUUGCUCCUUACUCAACAUGACGAGUCCCUUCGGCCCUUGCAUGCCUCCCACAUGUACACACGGUACUGUUCUCAAUCAGGGAUGAGUAGUGGUGGUGCUGUGGACUGAGUCUGUCGAAAGCUGAGAGCCUCCAUCCAGUUAAGAAAAGCUAGUGAAUGAAUCGACUGUUGGGGUAUUACGUCAAGCUCACCGAAGAGGGCGGCCACUUCCACUGCUUUCCCUGCAGGUUGGGUGGAUGGCGACGUCGACUUCAGGAAACAAUGAACGAACGCAGCACAGAAUCUUUGUCGGCAGAUGGAGAGCACUUUAUCGUCUUCCUCGAGGCCCACUGCAGCAACAGCAGCAGCAACGCCAUUUCAACCCUAGUGCGCUCGUUGCAAUCUAAGCAAAGAAAAGAAAAAGGAAAAGGGCGUCAAAAGGACCUUCCUUUCGCGUCACCUUUGCCUUUCUGUCUCUCCUCUUUCUUCUUCUUCUCCUCCUCCUUCUUCUUCUUCUUCUUCUUCUGUUUCUUUCUUUCUCGCUCUUGUUGUGGGUGACGAUAAAAUAUACCCUUUCUGUCUCGGAGCUCGCUUUCCAUUCAUUGUCUCUG
rnacentral:lncRNA from 1 species